UAUUUCGCCCAUGUUAACUGGUGGUGUCA
rnacentral:piRNA from 1 species